CAAAAUAAAGGGAUGCGAAAUCAAAGCGGUGGAAAGUAGAAAACGGCGGGGAGGAUGAGUUUGGUCGGAGUGACACCCUCCUUUCUUCGUCAUCGCUGGUCGCAAUGUCCGCUCUUAUGCGUUAAUGCCUUUAAGAUUAAGAUACUCCAUAGAGAUACACCUCUUCUUCUCUUUCGCCAUUCAAAACCCUACUAUUACUACUCUUCUAAUUAUUCUCCUCCACGUCGUCCUCUGGCAAUGGCUUCUGCAACUACCCCUCCUACUCAGACUGUUUCGUCUGGAGAUGUGAGCAGUGAUGACAACAUAUACAAAUUGAUUCAAGCUCAUCAGGAAGCGGCUGCUCGACUCCCACCAAUUGAAGAAGUUCGGACAGUUCUUGAUCGCAGUGCCCGGGGUAUGCUGUCUACUUUUUCUCAGAAAUAUGAGGGAUAUCCUUCAGGGUCCAUGGUCGAUUUUGCAUGUGAUCAAGAGGGGUUUCCAAUAUUAGCAAUCAGCAGCCUAGCAGUUCAUACAAAGGAUCUGUUGGCUAAUCCUAAAUGCUCACUGCUUGUAGCAAGGGAUCCUGGGGACAGAACUGAUUUAGUGAUCACCUUACAUGGUGAUGUUACAGCUGUUACUGAACAAGAUAGGGAUGCUGUGCGUGCUGCAUACUUGAAAAGGCAUCCCAAUGCAUUCUGGGUUGAUUUUGGAGACUUCCACUUUUUGCGCAUUGAACCAAAAAUUGUCCGAUAUGUGUCUGGUGUUGCAACUGCUCUGUUGGGGUCGGGAGAAUUUGGCAAAGAGGAUUACAAAGCCGCAAAACUUGAUCCAAUAGCUCAGUUUUCCAAUCCUGUUGCGUCACACAUGAAUAAAGAUCAUGCUGAAGAUAUGAAGGCUAUUGUGCAACACUCAACAGCAGUUCAGGUUGACUAUGCUUACAUAUUGGAUUUGGACAGUCUUGGUUUCAAUGUUAAGGCUGGUUAUCAGGGGAAUACCUUCAAGCUUCGAAUACCUUUUCCUAGAUGUGCAGAGGAUAGAAAGGAUGUAAAGAUUCUCAUUGUGGAAAUGCUUCAAGCUGCUAAAGCCUCAAAUUAAUUGAUCAAAAAGGUGAACUGUAAAAAGUCUCAGCUCAAGUAUAUGGAACAGAAGCCAGAUUUAUCACUUUGCAGUGGUUUAUUAUAGGGAAAGGCAGAUAGCUUCCAUUGAUCAUCUUAGAUAGAUGUUGCGAAGCAUUGGAUCGAGUGUAUUCUUGUAUAAUGUUUCUGGUAUAUCAACAGUUAUGAAUAUCUGGUGCCACUAAGUGAAAUGGAGGAAAUCAAGUGCUUCUGGUUCAUGUCAGAAACUUGGCGACCAUUAGUUAUUGUUUUCUCCUUUUACUGAGGAAUUUGCUUAUUUACUGUGAACUGAAGUGUAAAGAGAGUCUUAUGUCAGAAGAGAAAUUAUAUUUGACUGAUAUAGCGUUGUUAUUUGGGUCGGGACAUAAUAUUUGAAUAAAGAUCACAAAAUUUGAGUAGUGUACUA